AUUGUUUUAAUUGAUUACUUGUGAACUAGUGAGUAGUGGCUUUAAUUAAGUAUGUGCUUGUGUAAAGAUGACUCAAAUCUGUGGGGAUAACAAUCUUUAACAUGUCAUGUGCAUUGGAAAUCCCUGAGGCAAACGUUGGAAGGUUUAGGUUUUGUUUUGGUUAGUUUGUUUCGUUUUGUUUUCUUUCUUUUGUUUGUUUUGCUCGAGGACUAGCAACAGCUAAGUGUGGGGGAAUUUGAUAGGAGCAUAUUUAUGCGCCUUAGUUAGCUAGUUCUUAUGCAUUUUUCUUAUGUUUUCUUCGUUAAAGUAGUCUUUUAAGCUACUUUCAUGUGUUUUCAGGUUUAAAGGACAUAUUACAUGAAAUGAUGCAAUUUGGAGCUAUUGGAGCAAAAAAGUGAGCUUGGAUUGAAAAGGACAUGCUUGGAACACAAGGUUGGGAUGAAAUUGACGAGUUGAAGAUUUGAGGUUUCCUACUUGAAGGACUAGCAACAGCUAAGUGUGGGGGAAUUUGAUAGGAGCAUAUUUAUGAACCUUAGUUAGCUAGUUCUUAGGCAUUUUCGUUAUGUUUUCUUCGUUAAAGUAGUCUUUUAAGCUACUUUCAUGUGUUUUCAGGUUUAAAGGACAUAUUACAUGAAAUGAUGCAAUUUGGAGCUUUUUGGAGCAAAACGUGAGCUUGGAUUGAAAAGUACAUGCUUGGAACACAAGGUUGGGAUGAAAUUGAAGAUUUGAAGAUUUAAGGAUUCCUAGUACAAGAAGGAUUCCUAGUCCGAGGAGGAGUCCUACUCAAACGAGGUUUCCUACUUGAAGUAGGAAAGCUAAGCCUAAAAGUUUCCAUUUUGGGUUGAUCUUUCCUAAACCUAAAUGGCCUUGCGUUUGAGCAACAUUAGAAGGUUCCGAAGCGUUGGAAGACACAAAGAAAGGUGUUAGAAUAUUUUCUCAUCCUUGCCGUGGGUUAGGGCUUAUUUUCUCUUGGUUUUGGGCUUUCUAGAAGCCCUAUCCACACUCCCACUAAUCAGCCGCACCUUUCCCUUCUAGAACACCUAUUUGCCUUGCCUUGCAAGGCAUUCUAGAAGCCCUAACCCUAGCCCAUUAAACCUGCCGCACCCUAGGCCCUUUUCCCACUAAAAUUCUGAUUGUUUUAACCUAUUUUCUGGUGGAUUUGGGUUUCUAGAAACCCUAAUCUGAUUUGCUAGGGUUUUUAAGUGCCUAUAUAUACUCAUUUAACCCUUUUGCCGCACCUACCACCCCCCAUAUUCAUUCUACACGCCAAAAACCCUAGUUCUAAUUCUUGCCGCAUCUUCCACCCCCAAACUCCCAACUUUCUGCCAAAAUUCAACCAUAGCCGCACCUUUCCAUCACCAUAACCACCUUGUGCAGCCACCAUUGAAGGAGGAGAGGAGUAGUGCCGUGCAAACCAAAGGAAGGAAGAGACCUUGCACAUGCAAUCUGCAACUAGUGGAGUGUUUGGAGUUCUUUCUUCUCUUGUUUCUGUUUUCAUGUUUAAUUUAACUUGCUGUUCAA
rnacentral:lncRNA from 1 species